UCUCACUGCAGAGCAAAUCCUCUUUAUCUGCAUUCGUGGCCAUGGAAAAGCGAUUGUCAUGUGGGGCUCUGUGCCUGCAAUAUCCCUGUCUGCACUGGGCGUUACUGCCCCUACGGAGGGCCUUGGCCUGUCCCAGCGCCAGGGUCAGCAGCACGGCGAGGGCAGGCGCUCGCUUGGGUUUGCGGCAUUUCCCCUCUCCGAACCCGCACCGAUCCGUGGCUCGGCAGAAGGGUGUGGGGUUCUGGCUUUGGGGUUUACGGCAAAGGUCUCCCUCGCCUCCACAGCUGAGUGGCAAAUUCAGACUAAGCUGAUGUUCUCUGGACACAUACAUGCAGCAGUGCCGUGACACAGCCGAGGACUGCAGGCUUGCAGUAGGUACUGCCCGCGAGUCGUAGGGGAUGUUGCUUACAGGUGCUGUGCUCAGAAUGGCCCCGUUCUUUGUCCUUAAACUAUUAAGUGGUUUUUCUUAUUUCCAGUUCUUCCUUUCCCCGUCGUCACGAUAACAAACUUCCUUUUGCUCGACCUGGAGUCAAUACCAGAGCAUGUGUUAGUGCGCGCUGCCAGUAGUCGUUACAGGAUAGCCGUGCGUAUUGAGGCAUCGAUUCGCUUUAUUAACGUGAACAUCAACAGCAUUGCGGAUACCUAACUCUGCCCCACAAGGACCUGGUACAAAAGGAACAAGAGGUCGCUAAAAAAUUCAGCAGGGCUUCAAGAAGCAAUUCAUUGACACAAGCAGCAGCCGCUUCUAAGGAUUUGAUGAAUUCU